GACGAACGCUGGCGGCGUGCCUAAUACAUGCAAGUCGAACGAACUCUGGUAUUGAUUGGUGCUUGCAUCAUGAUUUACAUUUGAGUGAGUGGCGAACUGGUGAGUAACACGUGGGAAACCUGCCCAGAAGCGGGGGAUAACACCUGGAAACAGAUGCUAAUACCGCAUAACAACUUGGACCGCAUGGUCCGAGUUUGAAAGAUGGCUUCGGCUAUCACUUUUGGAUGGUCCCGCGGCGUAUUAGCUAGAUGGUGGGGUAACGGCUCACCAUGGCAAUGAUACGUAGCCGACCUGAGAGGGUAAUCGGCCACAUUGGGACUGAGACACGGCCCAAACUCCUACGGGAGGCAGCAGUAGGGAAUCUUCCACAAUGGACGAAAGUCUGAUGGAGCAACGCCGCGUGAGUGAAGAAGGGUUUCGGCUCGUAAAACUCUGUUGUUAAAGAAGAACAUAUCUGAGAGUAACUGUUCAGGUAUUGACGGUAUUUAACCUGAAAGCCACGGCUAACUACGUGCCAGCAGCCGCGGUAAUACGUAGGUGGCAAGCGUUGUCCGGAUUUAUUGGGCGUAAAGCGAGCGCAGGCGGUUUUUUAAGUCUGAUGUGAAAGCCUUCGGCUCAACCGAAGAAGUGCAUCGGAAACUGGGAAACUUGAGUGCAGAAGAGGACAGUGGAACUCCAUGUGUAGCGGUGAAAUGCGUAGAUAUAUGGAAGAACACCAGUGGCGAAGGCGGCUGUCUGGUCUGUAACUGACGCUGAGGCUCGAAAGUAUGGGUAGCGAACAGGAUUAGAUACCCUGGUAGUCCAUACCGUAAACGAUGAAUGCUAAGUGUUGGAGGGUUUCCGCCCUUCAGUGCUGCAGCUAACGCAUUAAGCAUUCCGCCUGGGGAGUACGGCCGCAAGGCUGAAACUCAAAGGAAUUGACGGGGGCCCGCACAAGCGGUGGAGCAUGUGGUUUAAUUCGAAGCUACGCGAAGAACCUUACCAGGUCUUGACAUACUAUGCAAAUCUAAGAGAUUAGACGUUCCCUUCGGGGACAUGGAUACAGGUGGUGCAUGGUUGUCGUCAGCUCGUGUCGUGAGAUGUUGGGUUAAGUCCCGCAACGAGCGCAACCCUUAUUAUCAGUUGCCAGCAUUAAGUUGGGCACUCUGGUGAGACUGCCGGUGACAAACCGGAGGAAGGUGGGGAUGACGUCAAAUCAUCAUGCCCCUUAUGACCUGGGCUACACACGUGCUGCAAUGGAUGGUACAACGAGUUGCGAACUCGCGAGAGUAAGCUAAUCUCUUAAAGCCAUUCUCAGUUCGGAUUGUAGGCUGCAACUCGCCUACAUGAAGUCGGAAUCGCUAGUAAUCGCGGAUCAGCAUGCCGCGGUGAAUACGUUCCCGGGCCUUGUACUCACCGCCCGUCA
rnacentral:rRNA from 1 species